GGGUUGUGAGGUUAAGCGACUAAGCGUACACGGUGGAUGCCCUGGCAGUCAGAGGCGAUGAAGGACGUGCUAAUCUGCGAAAAGCGUCGGUAAGGUGAUAUGAACCGUUAUAACCGGCGAUGUCCGAAUGGGGAAACCCAGUGCAAUUCGUUGCACUAUCGUUAACUGAAUACAUAGGUUAACGAGGCGAACCGGGGGAACUGAAACAUCUAAGUACCCCGAGGAAAAGAAAUCAACCGAGAUUCCCCCAGUAGCGGCGAGCGAACGGGGAGCAGCCCAGAGUCUGAAUCAGCUUGUGUGUUAGUGGAACGGUCUGGAAAGUCCGACGGUACAGGGUGAUAGUCCCGUACACCAAAAUGCACAGGCUGUGAACUCGAAGAGUAGGGCGGGACACGUGGUAUCCUGUCUGAAUAUGGGGGGACCAUCCUCCAAGGCUAAAUACUCCUGACUGACCGAUAGUGAACCAGUACCGUGAGGGAAAGGCGAAAAGAACCCCGGCGAGGGGAGUGAAAAAGAACCUGAAACCGUGUACGUACAAGCAGUGGGAGCACCUUCGGGUGUGACUGCGUACCUUUUGUAUAAUGGGUCAGCGACUUAUAUUCUGUAGCAAGGUUAACCGUAUAGGGGAGCCGCAGGGAAACCGAGUCUUAACUGGGCGUUAAGUUGCAGGGUAUAGACCCGAAACCCGGUGAUCUAGCCAUGGGCAGGUUGAAGGUUGGGUAACACUAACUGGAGGACCGAACCGACUAAUGUUGAAAAAUUAGCGGAUGACUUGUGGCUGGGGGUGAAAGGCCAAUCAAACCGGGAGAUAGCUGGUUCUCCCCGAAAGCUAUUUAGGUAGCGCCUCGUGAAUUCAUCUUCGGGGGUAGAGCACUGUUUCGGCUAGGGGGUCAUCCCGACUUACCAACCCGAUGCAAACUACGAAUACCGAAGAAUGUUAUCACGGGAGACACACGGCGGGUGCUAACGUCCGUCGUGAAGAGGGAAACAACCCAGACCGCCAGCUAAGGUCCCAAAGUCAUGGUUAAGUGGGAAACGAUGUGGGAAGGCACAGACAGCCAGGAUGUUGGCUUAGAAGCAGCCAUCAUUUAAAGAAAGCGUAAUAGCUCACUGGUCGAGUCGGCCUGCGCGGAAGAUGUAACGGGGCUAAACCAUGCACCGAAGCUGCGGCAGCGACGCUUAUGCGUUGUUGGGUAGGGGAGCGUUCUGUAAGCCUGCGAAGGUGGCCUGUGAGGGCUGCUGGAGGUAUCAGAAGUGCGAAUGCUGACAUAAGUAACGAUAAAGCGGGUGAAAAGCCCGCUCGCCGGAAGACCAAGGGUUCCUGUCCAACGUUAAUCGGGGCAGGGUGAGUCGACCCCUAAGGCGAGGCCGAAAGGCGUAGUCGAUGGGAAACAGGUUAAUAUUCCUGUACUUGGUGUUACUGCGAAGGGGGGACGGAGAAGGCUAUGUUAGCCGGGCGACGGUUGUCCCGGUUUAAGCAUGUAGGCGGAGGUUCCAGGUAAAUCCGGUACCUUUUAACGCUGAGGUGUGAUGACGAGGCACUACGGUGCUGAAGUAACAAAUGCCCUGCUUCCAGGAAAAGCCUCUAAGCAUCAGGUAACAUCAAAUCGUACCCCAAACCGACACAGGUGGUCAGGUAGAGAAUACCAAGGCGCUUGAGAGAACUCGGGUGAAGGAACUAGGCAAAAUGGUGCCGUAACUUCGGGAGAAGGCACGCUGGUGUGUAGGUGAAGUCCCUGCGGAUGGAGCUGAGACCAGUCGAAGAUACCAGCUGGCUGCAACUGUUUAUUAAAAACACAGCACUGUGCAAACACGAAAGUGGACGUAUACGGUGUGACGCCUGCCCGGUGCCGGAAGGUUAAUUGAUGGGGUUAUCCGUAAGGAGAAGCUCUUGAUCGAAGCCCCGGUAAACGGCGGCCGUAACUAUAACGGUCCUAAGGUAGCGAAAUUCCUUGUCGGGUAAGUUCCGACCUGCACGAAUGGCGUAAUGAUGGCCAGGCUGUCUCCACCCGAGACUCAGUGAAAUUGAACUCGCUGUGAAGAUGCAGUGUACCCGCGGCAAGACGGAAAGACCCCGUGAACCUUUACUAUAGCUUGACACUGAACAUUGAGCCUUGAUGUGUAGGAUAGGUGGGAGGCUUUGAAGCGUGGACGCCAGUCUGCGUGGAGCCAACCUUGAAAUACCACCCUUUAAUGUUUGAUGUUCUAACGUUGGCCCGUAAUCCGGGUUGCGGACAGUGUCUGGUGGGUAGUUUGACUGGGGCGGUCUCCUCCCAAAGAGUAACGGAGGAGCACGAAGGUUAGCUAAUCCUGGUCGGACAUCAGGAGGUUAGUGCAAUGGCAUAAGCUAGCUUGACUGCGAGCGUGACGGCGCGAGCAGGUGCGAAAGCAGGUCAUAGUGAUCCGGUGGUUCUGAAUGGAAGGGCCAUCGCUCAACGGAUAAAAGGUACUCCGGGGAUAACAGGCUGAUACCGCCCAAGAGUUCAUAUCGACGGCGGUGUUUGGCACCUCGAUGUCGGCUCAUCACAUCCUGGGGCUGAAGUAGGUCCCAAGGGUAUGGCUGUUCGCCAUUUAAAGUGGUACGCGAGCUGGGUUUAGAACGUCGUGAGACAGUUCGGUCCCUAUCUGCCGUGGGCGCUGGAGAAUUGAGGGGGGCUGCUCCUAGUACGAGAGGACCGGAGUGGACGCAUCACUGGUGUUCGGGUUGUCAUGCCAAUGGCACUGCCCGGUAGCUAAAUGCGGAAGAGAUAAGUGCUGAAAGCAUCUAAGCACGAAACUUGCCCCGAGAUGAGUUCUCCCUGAGACUUUAAGUCUCCUGAAGGAACGUUGAAGACGACGACGUUGAUAGGCCGGGUGUGUAAGCGCAGCGAUGCGUUGAGCUAACCGGUACUAAUGAACCGUGAGGCUUAACCUUACAACGCCGAAGCUGUU
rnacentral:rRNA from 1 species